rnacentral:lncRNA from 1 species
UUUCCUGUUUAGGAAUGCCUAAAGUGAGAUACUCCCUGGUGAUUAAGCUUUUGCCCAGAACCACACCCUUGAUGAGGCAGUCCUUAGAAUCUUUCUUGGCUGGACCACCCAAACAGGUACCACACCCACUGGCUCCCUCCUUCUUCCUUUCACUGCUGGUCCUGGUUUACACCCUAGGACCAUUUAGUUAUACCAGUUUCCUAAUAUCCCGCCCUCCCUAGGACCCCCAUCCGAUACUUUGUGCAUCAGGGGAAAGGUCAGAACCUUCACACUUGGGCCAGAGAGUGACUCUGCCUCUAGAGAGGAGUUGGGGUAUAUAAAGGGGGGGCGGGGGCGGGUAAGGGAGUUAAGGAGAGCAGACACAUUGAUUCGGUCAUUCAGAAAGUAUUCUUCUAAGGAAUCGGUGUGUGUACACUGUGUAGUCAGUGCUAGGACACGGCCUGUCUUAAAGCUGACUUCUACCUGCUCCUCUUGCCCACACCUCGGGUUUUCUAGCUGUGGCUGAUAUGGCACUCAGGCUGCUAUUGCUUAUCCACAUACCAAAAAGGCCCCUCUGUUGGGCCUGCCUGCUGAGGAGAAAUUGACAAGCCAGCUCACAGAAAGACCAGACCCGGCCAACACCUGAAUGGCACGGACUAGGAUAUGGGAAAGUCAAUGGCUGUGAGGAGAGACUCACACCAUCGAGAGAGGAAGAGAACAUCACCACAGACACCUCUUGUGACCUCCAGCCAUUGUGGUCACAUGACAACUUCAGCAGGCAGCCACAGCCUGAGGACGGAACUAGCCAUCCUGAAAACAGCUAUCUGGGCCCUGAAUGGCGGGAGUGGAUUAGAAUGUGUGGGAAUGGAAUUCGGGUCUGCUGCAGCCCGUAAGUGAACAGAAAGGAGAAAACACACGCUUGUCAGACAGCAAAGCUUGCGCAGUGUUGAGUGUGGUGACACUGAAGUCUCGAGAGCAUUCAGUGACUGCCAUGCUCCUGCAGAUGCCAGAGGAGUCAAGACUUUGAUGGCUCACUUCCUUGGCCU